rnacentral:rRNA from 1 species
CGUGUAGGCGGUGCGGUAAGUUGGACGUGAAAUCCCCGGGCUCAACCCGGGGCGGUCGUUCAAAACUGCCGUGCUAGAGUGUGGGAGAGGGAAGUGGAAUUCCUGAUGUAGCGGUGAAAUGCGUAGAUAUCGGGAAGAACACCUGUGGCGAAGGCGGCUUCCUGGCCCACAACUGACACUGAGGCGCGAAAGCUAGGGGAGCAAACA